AACUCUUCAAGGUUUUAAAAAUAACCUGUUUAUAUAUAUCUUUAUAAGUUAUUAUAUGUAACAUUUAUAAACAUAUAGAAAAGGUCUGAGCUUAACCACACCACCCUGUUAAAAGUAGUUACUUUUGAGGAAAGAAGUGGGGAGAAGACUUAGAUUGGGAUGAGGCAGGGGGAGGGUAUGAAUAGAGAUGUUCCUUUUUUACUUAGGUACUUCUGUACCAUUUGACUUUUUUAUAAUAGGCAUUCAUCAUUGCUAUUUUUUUAAUUAAAUGGAAAGAAAUCACACUCCUUCUCAUUCCCCUGAAAUUCUGAUGUGCUCCUUAGAGUAUGAACCCUGGCACUCCUGGUAAAAACCGUUGUCCAAGGGGGAGUGUACAUGAUAAUCUUCAUUACUGGCACAAAAAACAGCAAUUUGUGUGGUCCAGGGAAGCAGCAGGUGUAAUAGGAAAAUCGUUACUGUGGGAGCCAGGAGACCUGAGAUCAGGUCUUGACUCUGCCCCAGCUCACUGUGUGACUUUGGACAAGUGCCGUGCCCCCUCUGGGCUUGAGCGUCUCCUUGCAUUCAGUGAAUACAUGGGACUCAUCAAUUCACUUGACUGAUAGCUCCAGAAGGAUGGGGCCCUGCCUGUCUUAUUCACUGAUAUGUAUCCUGGUGGCUUGCACAGCUCCAGAUGCUCAGUAGCCACUCACUAAAUAUCUAAAAUGAAUUAGUGAAUGGUUUUCAGGUCUCUCCAGAGAAACGAGUGGCACAGUGGGCAUCGUUGGGCCUUGGCCCUUACCAUUUCUGCCAGGGCCCCUACUGUACAUCUUUCCAUUCAGCCUUGUGCCUGUCUUGCUCUCUCCCCAGAAUAUACUCUGAACUCUACAAGGCCCUGUUUCCCGUGCUCUCUCCACAGGGUCAACAAGCCCUUUCUGGGCCAUGGGGAUGCAGUGAUGCAGCACCGGAGGCCAGCACCUGCACUUGGCUCUGGGACCACACCCACUGGAGGAGUUUACAAAAGGUUUCAUAGGAACACUACUUUCAGAUAGCCGGCGGUCGGAAACCUGUACAAGAAAUUGACAUUUUCAGGAAGUUUGGAAGAUGGCAGAGUAGGAAGAGCUGAAGUCACCUCCUCCCACGGGCACAACAAUCUGUAACUACCUGCAGAACAAUUUCCUCUGAAAAAGAUCUGGAAACUGGAUAAAAAGCACCCCCACAGCAAGGGACAACACUGAUGGGGUGGAAGAGGCAGAAAUACAGCCCUGCUGAGGGCAAAAACCACACCCAAGGUGCAAUGCUUCACCGGCAGCGAGCCAUCUCAAAGGUAGGGAGCUUUUCCCAGGGGAGCAUGGGAUCUGAGCAGGGGAGCUAUGCCACAGUAGGCAUCUGAGCUCUUAGAUGCAGCACAGCCAAGAUCCCAUGAUACCUGGCUUUGCUGGCUUUAAAAACCAACAUGGAAUAUGCCCAGAAAAACUAUAGAACUUCAGAGAAAGGAAAACCUCUUAAAUGGCCCCCACGCAGAUUCACCCGAUCCAAAAACCAACAUAAAAACCCUGGAUAGAAAAGUGCAUAGUCCAUUGGUAAAAGAGACUCGCUUGCCAAGCGUGGAGCAGAUCUCAGAGAGGCAGCAGGCAGGGACUGAGAAAUUGGGGCAGCCGUUAUUGUGACCUAGUACACAGAUGCUGACACAGAUGCUGGCAGCCACCAUUGGAUUCC
rnacentral:lncRNA from 1 species